GAGGCAAGUAUUGCAUUGUUGCCAUCGAGGAUAAAAAGAUGGGGUUUUCAUCAUAUUGCUUGAGUUUAUCCCUCUACAUCAUGUCAUCUUACCUAAUGCUUUACUCUGUUCUUCAUGAACUUAAUACCCUAGAUGCAGGCAGGAGUCGGUCGAUGUGUGGAGUAAUAGUAGUAGAUGUAGAACCGUUUCGAUCUACUUGACACGGACGUGAUGCCUAUAUGCAUAAUCAUUGCCUUGGAUAUUUUCAUAAUUAUUCACUUUUCUAUAAAUUGCUCGACAGUAAUUUG
rnacentral:lncRNA from 1 species